GCACGAAGAACGAAGAAGGUGCAAGUCACUCGAAGGCAUAAGUAUCUCAAGAUCGCGGAUGGAAAUCUCGUCAGUUGAUUCAAGUAUGGAUGGCAAACGGGGUAAGAGGAAGCAAUGAGGCAAGCAUGAACGUGAACACUAAAGGCACGAAGAAGGAAGAAGGCGCAAGUCACUCGAAGGCAUAAGUAUCUCAAGAUCGCGGUAAAUCCUCAACUUAGGCGACUCGGCGAA